UAAGCUAAAGAGAGUAAAGAGAUUUGAGAGAUUUGAGAGAUUGGAAAGAUUAUUUCUCUUUCUUACAAAAAAUGGCUAAGUACAAGGUUCCCUUUUAAGGGCUAGACAAUCGGAAUAUCCUCAAGAAUAUGCUCUAUGUACAACGGUCAUAAGAGAGGAAACGCGUCAUAAAGGUAAUAAAGCAUUCCUUGUCUUCUUCUCCUUUUGCGAGAGUAACGGCUCUUAUGGGAAGGAUCGAGAGUCUUCUAGAACGUUGGUGUAGCUUUGGAUAAGAUUAGGAGGCUUAUGGAGAUCCCAAUGGGCCGAUCAUGACCUUGUACGGACGGCCUCAUAGUUGAAUCGUACGGACGAGUGACGAUCCGUACGGACGAGUGGCACGAGACGGUUUACAACCGAUCGUGCAAAACACCAAGUGACCCGGAUGGAUUCUUUUUUUUUUUCACUUGGUUCAAUACUCCCCCUCAAGUCUAACCGGAGAAAGAUGGAGGUUAGACUUGGAUCCAAAUUCAACCACCUCAUUAAAAACCUAAGUGUAGAAAACCUCAUGGGAUAAAACCACACUUAGGGAAAAAGAGUAUGGGAUAUUUGGCUAAGGGGAUUGUGGCUGAGUUAAGUCAACAAGACCUAACUUUUGGUGAAUGUACUCACACACCUUGGUGCUAGAUCCUUUGGUGAAGAUGUCAGCCAAUUGUUCUUCACUCUCGGUGUAAUGUGGCAAGAUGACUCCAAGUUGGAUUUGCUCUCGGACUUUGUGGCAAUCGACUUCAAUGUGCUUCGUUCUCUCAUGAAACACCGAGUUGGUUGCGAUGUGAAUGGCGGCUUGAUUGUCACAAUGCAUAGUGAUUGGUUGAGGCGUGUCUAUACCAAAGUCUUUGAGGAGAGCCUUUAGCCACAUUAGCUCCGUGGUAAGCUUUCUCAUGGCCCGGUACUCCGCUUCGGCACUUGAAAGAGACACAACCUUUUGCUUCUUGCUUCUCCAAGUCACUAGAUUUCCACCAAUGAAGGUACAAUAGCCGGUUGUUGAUCUUCUAUCAUUCUUGUCUCCGGCGUAAUCCGCAUCACAAUACCCAACAAGCUCCGUGUUCCUAUUGCAUCCCAUCCAAAUGCCUUGACCUGGAGCGCCUUUGAGAUACUUGAGGAUGCGGUUCACCAUAUUCCAAUGGUGUUGAUUUGGAGCUUGCAUUUGUUGGCUCACUACAUUCACGACAAAGCAAAUAUCAGGCCUAGUGAUGGUUAAAUAGAUGAGCUUACCUACUAGCCUCCGAUACUUGGUAGGAUCUUCAAAAGGCUUGUUAUCAUACUCCCCCUUUCGUCUAGCUUUGUAGUCAUCUUCCAAGGGAGUCUUUGCUGGUUUAGCGCCAAGCUUACCUACUUCAUCAAGAAGAUCAAGAGUAUACUUUCGUUGGGAUAAGAAGAGACCCUCCUUUGAUCUACAAACUUCUAUCCCAAGAAAGUAUUUUAGUUCUCCAAGGUCUUUAAUAUCAAAGACACUUUUAAGGAAAUCUUUAGUAUCUUGAAUACCAACCUUGUCAUUCCCGGAGAUGAUAAUAUCAUCUACAUAAACGAGAAUGACUACUAUACCUUCUUGGCUAGGGAGAGUGAAGAGUGUAUGGUCAGCUUCAGAUCUCUUGAAUCCUCUUCCUAGGAGUGUGGUGCUAAGCUUGUGAUACCAAGCUCUUAGAGAUUGCUUAAGGCCAUAGAUUGCUUUGUUGAGCUUAAGAACUUUCCCGGGUGCUUCUUUAUCUUCUAGACCCGGUGGUGGUCUCAUAUACACUUUUUCCUCUAAUUCUCCUUGAAGGAAUGCAUUCUUGACAUCCAUUUGCCAAAGAUCCCAUUCCAAAUUAGUAGCCAAUGAAAGAACCACUCGAACCGUGUGAAGUUUGGCCACCGGGGCAAAAGUAUCAAGGUAGUCUUCUCUAUAUUUUUGAGUAAAACCUCUUGCUACAAGUCUAGCCUUGUACCUCUCAAUUUCUCCAUCACUCUUAUACUUGAUGGUGAAUACCCAUUUAGAGGUCACGGCUUUCCUUCCUCUAGGUAGAUCCUUUUCAUCCCAUGUGUGGUUGUUUAUCAUGGCUUGUCUUUCGGCUUCUAUAGCGUCUCUCCACACUUGAUGUUGCAUGGCUUCUUCAUAUGUUGUGGGAAUCCAAUGUUGAUCAACUUUGCUAAGGUAGACUUGAUGUUCUUCGGGUAGGUGAGCAAGAGUGCAUACGGCUUGAAUUGGAUGAGCUACCGCAUUGGCAUUGUAGUAGACUCUCUUGUCUUUCCAUGUUGAGGGAUGAAAGCGAAGUCUUUCACUUCUUCUUAAAGGUAUCACUUCUUGAGUCACUUCUUGAGUAGUGUCUUCUUCCUCUUGAUUUAAUUCGUUGGAGCCAUCACCAUCGGGUAUAUGAUCUUCUUCUUGAGUGUUGAGGUUAUUUUCUUCAUUUUGAGUGUCUUGGACUUCUUCCUCAAGACUUUCUUCUUCUUGUUCUUGAGUCUCUUGUCCUUGUGGCGGGUGUGGAGCUUGAGUUUGUGAAGGUUGGUAGUUCUCAAUUCCAAGCUUCUCAAGAAUAAUCCGAAGGUUAGUAGCUCUAUCCGAUGGUGAGCUAGACAAAUCCUUAAGACUUUCCCAAUCCUUCUUGUCAUAGAAUCCCUUGUCUUCCACAAACUUUACAUCUCUUGACACCAAUACUUUCCUUGACUCCGGUACAUAACACUUGUAACCCUUUUGAGUUGUUGAAUACCCGAUGAACAUUCCCUUAGUGCUUUUGGCUUGGAGCUUGUUCCUUUGAUCUCCGGGAACUAAGACAUAGCAAACACAACCAAACACACGUAAGUGAUCAAGAGAAGGCUUAGUCUUAGUGAGUACCUCAAAUGGAGACUUGUCUUGUAGAAUCUUUGUUGGUGUUCUAUUGAUCAAGUAACACGCGGUCAUCACGGCAUCACUCCAAAAUCUCUUUGGAACAUUGGUGUGAAACAUUAUGGACCUUGCAAUCUCCAUUAGGUGUCGAUUCUUGCGUUCCGAUACACCAUUUUGUUGAGGAGUGUAAGGGCAACUUGUUUGGUGGAUGAUUCCGUGUGACGCUAGGUGAUCCUUGAAUGCUUGGCUUGUAUACUCCCCACCAUUGUCGGAUCUAAAAAUCUUAAUCUUGGCAUUGUAUUGGUUAGUCACAUAAGUAUGAAAGUUUUUAAAAGCUUCAAGAACACGAUCUUUUGAACGAAGGAGAGUAAGCCAAGUAUACUUUGAUUUUUCAUCAAUAAAUGUGACAAAAUAUUUUUGGUUUUCUCUUGAUAAACAAGGUGAAGUCCACACAUCCGAAUGAAUUAAAUCAAAGUAACUUUCAUAAAUAGUAGACGACUUAGGAAAAAUAGCUUUGCAAUGUUUACCAAGAAUACAAGCUUCACAAUCAAGACUUUGAAAAGAAACUUUUGGUAGCAUUAAACUUAAAGCCCGAGGAUGUGGAUGACCUAGUCUAGCAUGCCAAAUAGCACUAUUCGCAACAACAAUAUUUGAACUAAAAUGAGAAGAUAAAGGUUCGGAUAGCUUUGUGUCUUCUAGAACAUAAAGACCAUCCUUUGUAACUCCUUGACCAAGCACCCUACUUGAUUCAAUAUCCUGAAAGUAAACAUCAUUAGGUCCAAAUAUCGCAUAACAAUUUAAAUCGGUCAUUGCUCUUUUAACGGAAAGCAAGUUAGAAGUAAAAUUUGGCAUGUAAAAGGCUUUAGACUUCUUAUCAAAUAGCUCUAAAUCACCUACUCCUUUAACCGGAAUUUUAUCCCCAUUAGCAAUUACCACGUUUCCUAAAGCCGGUUCAAUAUUGUUCAUUAGCCUAGAAUCACUAAUCAUGUGAUGAGAGGCUCCCGAAUCAACAAUAAGAGGUUUUAUAGUAUGAGCAAUAGCAUGAUAGGAUUUACCGGAUGACUCCUUAAGAGCCUUAAUGAGAGCAUCGAGAUCAGACUUCUUCACAUACUCCGAAGACGCCGUCAUUGCCACUCCAACACCAUUCACUUGAGUUGAGGGUCCGGGUCUGGAGGUGUCUUGAGUCUCUUGGCUCCAGUUCGCUUGAUGAGCUUUAGGAUCCUUCCAUUUACUUGGUCGGAGAUGGGGAUGGAGGAUCCAACACUUGUCCUUGGUAUGACCCGUCUUUUUGCAAUGGUCACAAGUUAGGCCUCUCUUGUUCUCGGACUUGUAGCUUCCCUUGUUGGCGGUGGUGAGCUCUCCUUUGUUGGCUGUAGCAAGCUCUCCUUUGUUUCCGAAGAGACCAAGAGAUCCUUGCUCCUUUUGGAUUUGAGAGCACACUUCUUCUAGGUUAGGUAGCUUCUCGGCUCGGAGUAAGUGCUUGAUGAGAUCGUUGUAGGUGGAGUUCAAGGUGAGAAGGAGACCAAAGACCUUGUCUUGUUCACGCCUUUCGUUGAGGAUCGCCGGAUCAAUGGUGUUAGGCCUUAGCAUCUCGAGCUCCGCCCAAAGAGACCUAAACUUGCCGAAAUGUUGAGUGAACUCCAUGUCUCCUUGAGAUAGAUCGUUGAUGGCCUUCUUCACUUCGAACACCCGGCUCAAGUUGGAGAGAUUCCCAAACACAUUAAAGAGAGUAUCCCAAAGCUCUUUAGGAGUUUCACAAUAGGAGUAAGCUUCGAGUAUUGAGGACUCAAGCGAGUUUCGGAGAAGGACCAAGACCGAUUGAUCUUCUUGGAACCAUUUCCCCUCAUCAACACGAACGAUUUCUUGUCCAUCUCUUGUGGUCGUCUCCUUUGGCGCCUCUUCGUUCAAGAUAUGGUUCCAAAGUCCCCGACUACACAAGGCAGAUCUUGUGGUUCGUGACCACAGCAAGUAGUUUCCUCCCUUGAGGAUAACCGGAAUGAUUUUCGAGUGUAAAGAACUCAUCUCAUCAUAGAAUGAACUCAUCGAACACAAUCAAAGAAAAGAGAGAGAUUUGGUGCGAAAGUAAAUGAGGUGGGUUGAAUGAAGGAUAUGGAGCUUAUUGCUCUGUUACCAUGUUAGAUUAUGGAGCUUUUAGGUUUCGAUGGGACCUUAUGAUGAUCGGAAAAGAUGAGAACUUUAAUCGGAAAAGUGUAAGCUAAAGAGAGUAAAGAGAUUUGAGAGAUUUGAGAGAUUGGAAAGAUUAUUUCUCUUUCUUACAAAAAAUGGCUAAGUACAAGGUUCCCUUUUAAGGGCUAGACAAUCGGAAUAUCCUCAAGAAUAUGCUCUAUGUACAACGGUCAUAAGAGAGGAAACGCGUCAUAAAGGUAAUAAAGCAUUCCUUGUCUUCUUCUCCUUUUGCGAGAGUAACGGCUCUUAUGGGAAGGAUCGAGAGUCUUCUAGAACGUUGGUGUAGCUUUGGAUAAGAUUAGGAGGCUUAUGGAGAUCCCAAUGGGCCGAUCAUGACCUUGUACGGACGGCCUCAUAGUUGAAUCGUACGGACGAGUGGCACGAGACGGUUUACAACCGAUCGUGCAAAACACCAAGUGACCCGGAUGGAUUCUUUUUUUUUUCACUUGGUUCAAUAGGCUACUCCAAACUGAACUUUUGUUGCGGUUUGAGCUCUCUUCUUGAGGUCUCUAGAUCGCUUUUUAGAACAUGUUAAACCAUGAUGGUUUUAACCCUUUUCGAGCCUUGAAACCUUGUACAUCAAUGACUUUGAAGUCUUGUGCACAUUCAAUCUUGAGCUCCGACUUUGACACUUGAAUGCGUGAGCUUGAUUCAACAUUCCCACCAGAUUUUUUUUCUCUAAUUUGAUCGUCCACCAAUGUCACUUCCUCUCUAACAACCACUUGAGUUCGUUGGCCAGAUUUCUUCUUCGUGUUGUCUUGAGUUUUGACUUGGUUGGAUCGUCUAAAUGGACUUCAAAUAUAACCGGCUCUACUCUUCACUUUCUUAGUCCUUCAUGACUUGGUCUGAAUCCUUUCCUUGUCAACUUUUACUUCCUUGAGGCUCUCAUUGGUCUCUUUGAGGCUCUUAUGGUCUCCUUCACCCUUAAACAAGAAAUAAAGAAGAAAAGAUUAAGUUUUGCCAUAAGGAAUAUCAAAGAGAAUAUCAAAUGAGGAAUAUCAAGGCAAUUAAGCAACAAUUAGGAGUUCAUGAAUAAGAUUAAGCUGUGAAUUCUAAGGCAAUGGUUUAAUGAAGAAUAUCAUGAAAUGAGAGUAGAGUUUAGGAACAGCCUUUAUUUGAAGAAGGCUUGAACUUUUGCGGUUUGUUCGCCUAAUGGACUUCAAGUCUGAUGGUGAAUGGUUCUAACCCUCCCGCAAACUUAUAGUGCCCAGAUUAUCCAGCCCUUAAUCUCUAACAAAUGCAUUCGCCUUCUCUUCAUGAGACAAGCGAUUCCUUGCAAAACAGAUUAGAGUUAAUGGACACCAAAACAAACAAAAUUGGUGAGAGAUAAGUGUAAGUGAAUAGAAUGGGCAGAAAUAAAGGAGAAUAAUAGUAUAGAAGACAAUAAAGAAGAAUGGAGAAUAAAGAGUUUGCUCAAGAGUUCAAAUGGAUAGAGUUUUGCUCUGUUUUCUUGAGUUAAGCGGAAGCUUUAACAACCAAGGCAUCCAAUAAUCAUCAAGAGUUUGGUGCUUUAAUGGCUGAAACAAUAUGGACCGUUGGGCAAUUCAUUUACCCACCGGUUUAAGACAUAAACACACCGAAAUAACUCAUGACCAAGAGUUUUCCGGUGACUUUAAAGAACUAUGAACCACGAAAUACCAUAUUGAAGAUGAUUUCCGUGGCCUAGUUUUAAAGAAACCAUUGGAACAAAACAGUUUGUCCAAUGGAAUCAUCAAUUUCUCUUCACAUGCUUGGUCUAAGAACUUUAACAAGACCAGAAUCCAAGCUUUUCUCAACAUUGAGCUGCUAGAGAAAUGAUUUUAACAAUAAAAGCUGAAACUUUAAAGAAUCUAGUCUAAAGCUGAAACCUUUAAAGAAGCUAAGCAAUUUAACAACUAAGAGAAAUUUAGAAACAACUUGAGAACGAUUUUAAGAGUUCCAAGAGAGCAACCCGCUCUGAUACCAUGUUGAAAUUGAAGAGACUAAGCUCAUAGGAAAGAGUAAACAAUCACUUGGUGAUUGGAUCUCCUUUUAUCCACACAAAGGGAACUCAUUCUCAAGAGGAAGAGACCAUCAACUUGUGAUGGAAUCCACACCAAUAUAGCUUGGUAGAACCGAAAUCUCUAUGGAUAGAAUCGAUUCUAGCAAGACAACUAUCUCUAGUAUGAAGCUAGAUCCAUGAGAAGUAACACAACACUAAAGGUUUGUGUACUUAGAGAGAAACGAAUCUAUGAAUCAUUUAGCUAGAGUAAACAACAUAAAUAAGAGAUAAAGAAGAGUUUAAGGUGUAUUUAAGAGUAAGAUUAACAAGAAAUGGGCUGCCCUAAGGCAGACCUAAACGGUUUAACUUUAACUCUCUACAUUGUUAACAUUAAGUUAAACACAAGUAAAGUAGAUUAAGCUAAAACGUUUUGUAUCAAGACUUGUCUUUUCUUAUUGAUGUAUUGAUUGAAUUGAAUUUACAAUGAGGCUUCUAGCCUUUAUAUAGAAAGAGAACUAGGUUAAGGUGUCUCACAAUCCCCUUUAAUCCUAGCCCUUCUUUUCUCUCUUUAAAUCUCCACCAUUGAAUUCAAAAUAGCUUCUAGAAGGUUGUGGUCCUCUUUUGUCUUCUAGAAGGUUGUGGUCCAACUUUGACCAAGACCAAGUUUGAAUUUGAGUCUCCUUCCUUUGUCUCCAACGGCUCCAUGAGAGACUUUGUGCUUCUUAGGUCUUCUAGAAGGUCUCUCAUGGGCUUCUCUUAUGUGACACCAAUCUUGCACAUUAUUAUCUUCACUAGGUGACACGAGUUUUGCACAUUCUUGUAUUCAUGCAUAGACUUCAUUUUGCAUCCUCGGUCUUGAUACUUUUGACACCAAUUAUGCACAUUAGGUCAUGAUACCAUUGACACUAAUUUUGCACAUUGGGUCUUGAUAACUUUGACACCAAUUUUGCACAUUGGUGUCUCGUCUUCGGCCUUGUCUUGAGAUCUUCGGCCUUGACUCGUCUUAUGAAUUUACACCAAUUUUGCACUUCGGUGUCUCGGUGACUUUACACCAAUUUUGCACUUCCGGCCUUGACACCUUGAAGUGACCCGAGCUUUGCACGGCUAUCUUAUGGAGAUCUUCGGCCUUGUCUUCAUGACUUCG
rnacentral:lncRNA from 1 species